AAAACACCCUAUUGUUUGGAUUAUUCAACCCGUGGUCCGAGCAGAUUUUUGUAAAGAGAAAAAAAGACCAUAGGAGGAGCACGGGCUCGCCUCCUCUCCCUCUCGCCCAAGUCCUCGUCGCUGCCGCCGCCACCACCACCCACGCUGUGGCAAUCUCCGGCGAGCUCCGGCGCCGCACAACACGCCCCAGAGCUCCCCACGGUCCGCAUCUCCCUCCCCUCCGGCCAGAUUCUGCGCUCCCGACCUCUACCGCCCGGUCGCAACGCCACCCCUGUGGCUAGGGUUUGGGGCAGGGCUUCGCCGCCGCGUCUCCGGCGGCCCCGGGUUCGUCCCUCUUCCUACCUGGUCGGGAUCCACCACCCCUACACCUCACCUUCGACGCCAUGGGAGUUCCCCAUCCACCAUGGUCGUCGCCGUCAAGGGCUUCUUCACGAAGAUGUGAAGGACGCCAUGGACCUGCAGCUCCUUUUCUCCUCCACCACGGACGCCGCCUCACCCUUCCAAGCCGCCAGGCACCCUACAAACGGGUCGGCCCACAGCUCCUGCGCUCCUCUGCCAUCUUGAGAUGCACCUGGAUCUGGGCGAUUUCAGGGCCUUCAUGGCUUUAGAAUCGGCCUCUCGUUCGGGAUCAGUUUGGAUCUAGGACAAGCCAACCAUGCUGCUGCGCCAAGCUCCUCUUGAUAUAGUUUACAUGAAUGCUAUCCGGGAGAAGGCAAAUAUCAGGAGCAAAUAAAAUCAAUCCCUGUACAAAUAAAAACACUCCCUGCAAUCUAUCAUUUUUUUGAGGAAUUAGCCACAUUAGAGUAGUUGAUACAUUGGAUGAGUAUUCAGAAGGUGCAGUCAAUUUUUCCUUUGGCAUCUAGCCCUCCUGUUGGUAUAAUAAUGCAAAUUGCCUUUUUUUAAAAAAAUUGGUCCUUCAUUUCUUUUCUUCGAGUUAUCUGUGUAUCUUUUAAGCUUUUGCUAGGCGAGGAAAGGUGGACCAAGUAGUCUAGCAGAACCAAUUGCAUUUUUGGGGUAUUGGCUUCAGAUUGGAGUGGGAAGGUAUAGAUAUGUGUUCUUUCCACAAGAAGAACAAUGAAUACUACUACAAUCUUUUCUAGAAUGGUUUGUUCUCAGCCACCUGAGUUUUAUAAUCCUUCUAAAACAGUCACUUCCUUUCAUAUGAAUGCACUUUUAGCAGAUGAUAUUCUGACUGGUCUGCUAUAUUUUGUUCAUGAAGACGUUCAUGUUUACUCCCUGUUCAAUUCAAGUCUGAAAGAUUCAUAUUUGGGUGGACAGGCUUCACUGAUUGAAAAUAUUUGAGAUGCUCUUUUUGAUGUAUGGCAAUAUGCUAUCUCAAAUAUGGUAGACGAGGAAUACGGGCUCUUUUGAAGAUAAAUAAACUAGAUAAAAAAGAAUUGAAAUAGCCAAGCAAGUUUCAUUGCAUGUUAAUUAUAUGGUCUGCUGUACUGAACCUUUUUCUGCAAUUUUCUUAUUUGUUCUGCUUGAAAAAGCUAACACUGAUCUUUUGCUACGUUUUGUGUUAAUGAGUAAAUGUUUUGUACAGAAAAUCAGUGCUAGAGAUUAGAAUUGCCUCAUAUAUAAUACUCCAUCUGUCUCAUUAUAUAAGACAUUUUUUCACGAGGUAGUACCAAAUAUGCCUUUAUGUGCUUUCUUCAACAAGUCAAAUGUGUGACUGACCUCCACCCACCUCCCCAUUCGCAACAAGCACCAGGACGUGACUUCGGUUCUGCCAAGUAGGUUUUAAUAAACAAAUCCUUCCUAAAUUAUGAGUUGUUUUCUUACUGAGCAAACAGAAUGCCCAACAUUCCAAUUUGUGAUGUUAAGGCUAACAAGAGAUGCAUAUAUCAUAUUUAACAUACUAUCUGCACUCUUCCUAAUUUAGUUUUUUUUUGCUUGUCCAGAAAGAAUAAAUUGGUGUUCGAUUUGACUACAACCCUACAAUGUUUGCUCUGAAAGGCAUGUACUUUAAAAAAAGACAUGAUGUGCAUUUGCAUAGUUUGACAAAUUCCGAUCAAUGAACUGUAUUUUGUUUUCUCUUUUCAUUGUAACAUCAACCUUACGUGGUUAUUCUUAUCAAUGUUUGAACUGAAGUUAUACAAUAGAGGGCAUGUACUUGAUUGUUUUAGUGUCAAUAUAUUCAGAAGACAUGGAUCCAUCACGGAAGGAGUAGAGGAAGACCAUGGAAAGGAGGAGUUACUAGGAGCAGAAUACUGGGAGGAGGUGUUGUCGCCAGCCUCACGUUGAUGUGUGGUACUUGCGCCUCUCUGCUUCAUAUGGACAUAGGCACCAAACUAGAACAUUUCCAUCAUGUUAUUUGGUGUUUAGAAAGUGUUUAUCUGUAAGCUACAUUAAUACACUAUAGUAGUCCCACAACGUUUUGCAUAUGAAUAGUUGUAGAAGAAACAUGAUAACAGGUUUCUUUUGUUGCUAACGUGUAGAGUUACUGUACAAAUGCAUUUUUUGCUACAGAUUUACGGGUCAUUAUUUAGCUAUUUCGGUUCGUCCUUAUGAAUAGAUUUUUCUAUGUAUAUGGCGGAAGAUAAUAUAGACCUCUAUUUGUAAACAUCCAUAUAGUUUGUGGAAAAUGGAAAA